GGUGAGGUCGUGACCUCCCUCUAGAGCCAGGACCACACGGCCUCCGGCGAGGGUCAUCAGCUGCCUUGUCAGAUAACCGAAACCUGAAGAGAGUUUACAGGAAGGAGGUUUAUCUGGUACCUGAAGGCAGCCAGGUAUUCUGCAUCUCCCAUGGGCGGGUCGAGACCUCCGGUGAAGGCAACGUUAACGUUGAACCCGACUCCAGGACCACUGCCCACCUGUGGAGAGGAGCACAAACUUCAAGUGAGUGUACGACACAAAUAAAAAGGAAAAUGUCCUUUUUUUAAGCUUUUUAGCUUCUUUUGGGUAAUUACAGGAUGCUUCUCCCUACUUCAGAUUAUUUCUUGCCUUUUGAUCAAGAUGUCUUUAAAAAACUACGAUUAGAACAGAGCAUUAAUAAAGUGAUCCUUGGAGAGAGUUCAACUGGAAACGAACAAGAUACACCCGGAGCCGACAGAUAACAUAAACUUGGAGUGCGACCAGCUUCAAGAAGCGUGGACUGAAAAAACUGGCAACCAAACUAAAAACUGUCAAAAAGCUGAAGUGGACCAAUUAUCAUUAUCCUUUGCAGCGCUACGGUUUUUAUUCUUGGACUCGAGUUCAUGUUUAAAAUGAUCUUUAUUUAUUUUAUACUCCUCAGUUCAAUCGCUGUGUGGAACAACUCGUUUUAGCUCGUCUCCCUUUAAGGCAACUUUUCUUCAUCACACUGAGCCAUAAAACACAGCGUGAAGCUGACAGGGCUAAAUUAUACACAAUUUUAUCUUGUUAUGUGAAGCUGGCCAUAUUUAAUAUGCGUAUCCUGGCCACCAGGUCAACUGUUUAUUGAGGUAACUAUCUAAUCAGCCAAUCACGUGGCUGCAAAAUCCCAGCAGAUCAGGAGUCCAGCCACGUUCAAAGUCACUUAAAUCACCCAUUCUGAUCUGGCUUUGAACUUCAGCAGGUUGUUUUGACCAUGUCCACAUGCCUGAAUGCACCGAGCUGCUGCCAUGUGAUUGGCUGGUUACAUAUCAUUAACAAGCAGCUGCACAGGUGUGCCUAAUGAAGUGGCCACUAAAAAGUAAAACGUGGGAAAAUUCUGAUCAGGUCACACACUCACCUCAUCAGGUGCUCCGCUUCCAGGGAAGAAGUUGCCGUCGUCGUAGCGAUGAACAGAGAUGUAAAGGACGUUGGGGUCAUCGUAGAAGGCUUGCUGGGUGCCGUUGCCAUGAUGAACAUCCUGAGAGUAGAAGAAGAAAAUAAAUCUAACUGGUCUUAAAAAAAGAGAAAAAUCUGCAUCUUCUGAUUAGCGUCACAUGACAGAGGAUCAUGUGACUCACCCAGUCCACAAUGAGGAUCUUGUUGACAUUCAGUCUCUGCUGCAGCAGUUUGGCUGCGAUGGCCACAGAGUUGAAGUAGCAGAAACCCCUGAAACAGCAGCAGACGGAGGGCAAGAGCUCCUGUUUGUUAUGAAUAUCUUUGCCAGAGCUCCAUUUUCAUUUUUGUAAUGGGACAAUUUAAACACUUUUUGAGGAGAAUAUGGAAAAUAAAUAAAGCAGGGCCCGAGAAAGCUGGCAGAAUAAAGGCUCUCAGGAUUUUAUGUGCAAAUAAACUCGAUGGUUUAUGUAAUUUCUAUUCCAGACGAGCCCGUUCCAGCUCUGGUUUUUGUAUACGUGCAGAUUAAGUGUCUCCAAGUCAGUGCGGUGACGGCUUUGGCCUUACAUGGGAGUGCUUUCCUCCGCAUGGUGUCCAGGAGGGCGGACCACAGCGAAACCAUUCUGGAAA